UUUGAUCAUGGCUCAGGACGAACGCUGGCGGCGUGCCUAAUACAUGCAAGUCGAACGCGUCUCCGUUAAUGAUUUUAGGUGCUUGCACUUGAAAGAUUUAACAUUGAGACGAGUGGCGAACUGGUGAGUAACACGUGGGUAACCUGCCCUUGAAGUAGGGGAUAACACUUGGAAACAGGUGCUAAUACCGUAUAACAACCAAAACCACCUGGUUUUGGUUUAAAAGACGGCUUCGGCUGUCACUUUAGGAUGGACCCGCGGCGUAUUAGCUUGUUGGUAAGGUAACGGCUUACCAAGGCGAUGAUACGUAGCCGACCUGAGAGGGUAAUCGGCCACAUUGGGACUGAGACACGGCCCAAACUCCUACGGGAGGCAGCAGUAGGGAAUCUUCCACAAUGGACGAAAGUCUGAUGGAGCAACGCCGCGUGAGUGAUGAAGGGUUUCGGCUCGUAAAACUCUGUUGUUGGAGAAGAACAGGUGUCAGAGUAACUGUUGACAUCUUGACGGUAUCCAACCAGAAAGCCACGGCUAACUACGUGCCAGCAGCCGCGGUAAUACGUAGGUGGCAAGCGUUGUCCGGAUUUAUUGGGCGUAAAGCGAGCGCAGGCGGUUUUUUAGGUCUGAUGUGAAAGCCUUCGGCUUAACCGGAGAAGUGCAUCGGAAACCGGGAGACUUGAGUGCAGAAGAGGACAGUGGAACUCCAUGUGUAGCGGUGAAAUGCGUAGAUAUAUGGAAGAACACCAGUGGCGAAGGCGGCUGUCUGGUCUGUAACUGACGCUGAG
rnacentral:rRNA from 1 species